UACGUAGGGCGCAAGCGUUGUCCGGAAUUAUUGGGCGUAAAGAGCGUGUAGGCGGCCUGGUAGGUCAGCUGUGAAAACUCGAGGCUCAACCUCGAGACGCCGGUUGAAACCAUCAGGCUAGAGUCCGGAAGAGGAGAGUGGAAUUCCCGGUGUAGCGGCGAAAUGCGCAGAUAUCGGGAAGAACACCAGUGGCGAAGGCGGCUCACUGGCCCGGUACUGACGCUGAGGUGCGAAAGCGUGGGGAGCAAACAGG
rnacentral:rRNA from 1 species